rnacentral:rRNA from 1 species
UGGGGAAUAUUGGGGCAAUGGACGAAAGUCUGACCCAGCGACGCCGCGUGAGGGAAGAAGGUCUUCGGAUUGUAAACCUUAGUCAACAGGGAAGAAGAAAGUGACGGUACCUGUGGAGGAAGCCACGGCUAACUACGUGCCAGCAGCCGCGGUAAUACGUAGGUGGCAAGCGUUAUCCGGAUUUACUGGGUGUAAAGGGCGCGUAGGCGGGGAUGCAAGUCAGAUGUGAAAUCUAUGGGCUCAACCCAUAAACUGCAUUUGAAACUGUAUCUCUUGAGUGUCGGAGAGGUAGAUGGAAUUCCUAGUGUAGCGGUGAAAUGCGUAGAUAUUAGGAGGAACACCAGUGGCGAAGGCGAUCUACUGGACGAUAACUGACGCUGAGGCGCGAAAGCGUGGGGA